UACGUAGGCAGCAAGCGUUGUUCGGAGUUACUGGGCGUAAAGGGUGUGUAGGCGGCUUCGUAAGUUCGGUGUGAAAUCUCCCGCUUAACUGGGAGGGUGCGCCGAAAACUGCGAAGCUGGAGCGCAGGAGAGGAAAGCAGAAUUCCUGGUGUAGCGGUGAAAUGCGUAGAUAUCAGGAGGAAUACCGGUGGUGAAGGCGGCUUUCUGGACUGCUGCUGACGCUGGAUACACGAAAGCGUGGGGAGCAAACAGG
rnacentral:rRNA from 1 species